GCCUCCACCUUCACCUUCACCUCUCCACCCCCCAGCGUGCGCUGAUGAAAGGGCAAUGGUGCAAAAUUCGUUGGGGAGAAAAACAGGAAGUGGAGCCUGAGAGCGAGGCCGCAGAAACGCUCCCCGGGCGUUGGCCGCCCUUCCAGCCGCAGCCUUACAGGAAAGUGGCGAGGGGGCAGCCCCAGCCCGGGCUGUGGGGGCGUGGGGUGGGGGUGCUGGUGGGAGAGUCCAGGAAAGACCCUUCCGCUGUAUCUUUAGGGGCUGUGUCUGGUAGAGCAAACGCUACGUCUGUGCCCUGCACUUGACAUCUCCUCUCACCUGUUCACAGCGGCUCCUCAAGAGUCGCAGAUGGAGCCCCCCAGGCCCACGGAACCUGGCCACCCGUACAGAAGGCCCCGCGGCCCCCCACCCCCCAUCUCUGAGGUUGAAACCACAAUGUCGUGCUGUGGCCUUCACUCACCCGUCACGACAGGGGUCCCUUUCCCAGAAGCCUCUGGGGGCUGCCAGACCACAGCAGAAGCCAGGUGUCACCAAGCCUCGCGGUCUGUGCCACCACCAAGGGACGAGGCUCCAAGUUUCACUCAUCCAUUCAACACACGUUGUCAAAUGUCACCAGACACGGUCCUGUGCCCUGAGGAUACUGCGGUGACAACGACUCUGCCUGCGGGACAUUCAGGUGGGGGGCGGGGCAGAUUCGGAAAUAAACAAGAAACAAACAAACGCA